AAAGCAACGAUCCUUUACAGUGGUGGAAGAUUAGAUUCGGAGAGACAUAAAUCACAGUUGAGGUUGGACAGCCACAAAAAAUCCUGAAGUCAAAUAUCCAAGUUAAAUUUAUCCAUGCUUGGGCUUUUAGAAGGUAAUAUGUAUUUAUUAUGUAUUUUUUUAUAAAAAUGUAAUCACUUUGGAAACAAGGGGUCUAUGUACCUGGCCAAUCAUGGAAUAUUGUAUUUUGUUUUUUGGGCUGAAGGGCUGAAGGAGUUGAUCCGCUUCCUUCCAGCCUAAACUGUGAUUUCUGUCCAAUUUUAUGCUAACAAACAUAGCAAGAAACUAUCAUUUCACA
rnacentral:lncRNA from 1 species